UAAGGAAUAUUGGUCAAUGGACGCAAGUCUGAACCAGCCAUGCCGCGUGAAGGAUGAAGGCCCUCUGGGUUGUAAACUUCUUUUAUCUGGGAAGAAAUGCUUGUUUUUUAACGAGUUUGACGGUACCAGAGGAAUAAGCACCGGCUAACUCCGUGCCAGCAGCCGCGGUAAUACGGAGGGUGCAAGCGUUAUCCGGAUUCACUGGGUUUAAAGGGUGCGUAGAUGGGAAUGUAAGUCAGUGGUGAAAUCUCCGUGCUUAACAUGGAAACUGCCAUUGAUACUAUGUUUCUUGAAUUUUCUGGAGGUCAGCGGAAUAUGUCAUGUAGCGGUGAAAUGCUUAGAUAUGACAUAGAACACCAAUUGCGAAGGCAGCUGACUACAGGGAUAUUGACACUGAGGCACGAAAGCGUGGGGAUCAAACAGG
rnacentral:rRNA from 1 species